UUAAAUUGAAGAGUUUGAUCAUGGCUCAGAUUGAACGCUGGCGGCAGGCCUAACACAUGCAAGUCGAACGGUAACAGGAAGCAGCUUGCUGCUUCGCUGACGAGUGGCGGACGGGUGAGUAAUGUCUGGGAAACUGCCUGAUGGAGGGGGAUAACUACUGGAAACGGUAGCUAAUACCGCAUAAUGUCGCAAGACCAAAGAGGGGGACCUUCGGGCCUCUUGCCAUCGGAUGUGCCAGAUGGGAUUAGCUUGUUGGUGGGGUAACGGCUCACCAAGGCGACGAUCCCUAGCUGGUCUGAGAGGAUGACCAGNCACACUGGAACUGAGACACGGUCCAGACUCCUACGGGAGGCAGCAGUGGGGAAUAUUGCACAAUGGGCGCAAGCCUGAUGC
rnacentral:rRNA from 1 species